rnacentral:rRNA from 1 species
UUCGAUAGUUGAUCCUUGCUCAGAUGGAACGCUGGCGGCAUGCCUUACACAUGCAAGUCGAACGGCAGCAUGAUCUAGCUUGCUAGAUUGAUGGCGAGUGGCGAACGGGUGAGUAAUACAUCGGAGCGUGCCCUGUAGUGGGGGAUAACUAGUCGAAAGAUUAGCUAAUACCGCAUACGACCUGAGGGUGAAAGUGGGGGACCGCAAGGCCUCAUGCUAUAGGAGCGGCCGAUGUCUGAUUAGCUAGUUGGUGAGGUAAAGGCUCACCAAGGCGACGAUCAGUAGCUGGUCUGAGAGGACGAUCAGCCACACUGGGACUGAGACACGGCCCAGACUCCUACGGGAGGCAGCAGUGGGGAAUUUUGGACAAUGGGGGCAACCCUGAUCCAGCAAUGCCGCGUGUGUGAAGAAGGCCUUCGGGUUGUAAAGCACUUUUGUCCGGAAAGAAAUCGCACUUACUAAUAUUAGGUGUGGAUGACGGUACCGGAAGAAUAAGGACCGGCUAACUACGUGCCAGCAGCCGCGGUAAUACGUAGGGUCCAAGCGUUAAUCGGAAUUACUGGGCGUAAAGCGUGCGCAGGCGGUUGUGCAAGACCGAUGUGAAAUCCCCGGGCUUAACCUGGGAAUUGCAUUGGUGACUGCACGGCUAGAGUGUGUCAGAGGGGGGUAGAAUUCCACGUGUAGCAGUGAAAUGCGUAGAGAUGUGGAGGAAUACCGAUGGCGAAGGCAGCCCCCUGGGAUAACACUGACGCUCAUGCACGAAAGCGUGGGGAGCAAACAGGAUUAGAUACCCUGGUAGUCCACGCCCUAAACGAUGUCAACUAGUUGUUGGGGAUUCAUUUCCUUAGUAACGUAGCUAACGCGUGAAGUGACCGC